rnacentral:rRNA from 1 species
UCCUGGCUCAGAGUGAACGCUGGCGGCAGGCCUAAUACAUGCAAGUCGAACGGCAGCACAGCAGAGCUUGCUCUGUGGGUGGCGAGUGGCGGACGGGUGAGGAAUACAUGGGAAUCUGCCCAGUCGUGGGGGAUAACGUAGGGAAACUUACGCUAAUACCGCAUGCGCCCUUCGGGGAAAGCCGGGGACCUUCGGGCCUGGCGCGAUUGGAUGAGCCCAUGUCGGAUUAGCUAGUUGGCGGGGUAAUGGCCCACCAAGGCGACGAUCCGUAGCUGGUCUGAGAGGAUGAUCAGCCACACUGGAACUGAGACACGGUCCAGACUCCUACGGGAGGCAGCAGUAGGGAAUAUUGGACAAUGGGCGCAAGCCUGAUCCAGCCAUGCCGCGUGAGUGAAGAAGGCCCUCGGGUUGUAAAGCUCUUUUGUCCGGAAAGAAAAGCGCCGGGUUAAUACCCUAGUGUCCUGACGGUACCGGAAGAAUAAGCACCGGCUAACUUCGUG